rnacentral:pre_miRNA from 3 species
AGAGCUUAGCUAAUCGGUGAGCAUUGAUCCCUUAAGAAAACUGUUCACAGUGGCUAAGUUCAGU